rnacentral:rRNA from 1 species
UACGUAGGGGGCAAGCGUUGUCCGGAUUUAUUGGGCGUAAAGAGCGCGUAGGCGGCCUGACAGGUCUGCUGUGAAAACUCGAGGCUCAACCUCGAGAUGUCGGCGGAAACCGUCUGGCUAGAGUCCGGAAGAGGAGAGUGGAAUUCCUGGUGUAGCGGUGAAAUGCGCAGAUAUCAGGAAGAACACCUAUGGCGAAGGCAGCUCUCUGGGACGGUACUGACGCUGAGACGCGAAAGCGUGGGGAGCGAACAGG